UCUUUGGGGUCUGGGGUGGUCGAGAAGAUCCCGGAUGAGCCCCAAAUGAAAGAUCCCCGAAGGGAGACCCUUACUCAAGUCUCGGGAAAUCACGGACCCCAGACACAGAGAGACCA
rnacentral:pre_miRNA from 14 species